UCAAGAUCAGACGGUGGACUGGCUUUCUAGCGGGGACCACACGCACGUGCCUUAUCUGGUUCACUCCUUCCUCAUCCCCACCACCGGCAUAUCCGAAAGAAAUUCCCCACCUAGAUCUUCUCUCCCUAUGAACUCGAACCGAGCAGCUGAAGGAGAGUGAUUGGGGCCCCAAUCGGGUGAAUCGCGAGCUCGGCGGAGAUGGGACGUGAUGCGCUGGUGGUGGGGACCGGCGGACCGACGGCGCCCGCGCUCCCGAGUCGAUGGCGACGGCCAUGGUCUUGGCGCGGCUAUGCGGAAGAGAGGAACGAGCAGCGCUGAUGCUCCUGCGGCGAAUGGCGGCUGCCAUGGAGGGUGUGGUGGUGGUUGCAGUUGUGAAUCGAGAAGCGGCAACGGUGGAUCAGGUUGCGUUGACUUCGAGCGCGAGGUAAAGGACUUCGUUGAUGUUCCCAUUCAGCUUUCCCACGUCCCUCUAGGCACCAUCGUGCGUGGUCUAUUUUUGGAGAUGUGUUUUCUUUUCUUCCAAGAUCCGAUCCUGAUUUGCAUUGGAAACUCCAAGUGAAACUCCGCUGAUUUGUUUGGGAUUGUUCUCUGCCUCCAUUAUUUUUUAUUGUCCCAGCUGUAUUUGAUUCAGAUAAUUUAUGGGUCUAAUGCAUAUUGGUGAUAUAGUUCUUUUUUUACUUUCAGAUCAAUAGGAGGAUCUAAAUUAUGUUCCAGCAUGUAAUUUUUGCAGACUAAUUUUUUGCCACUUAACUUUUUUUACUUCCAAAUCAGUAAAUGGAUGCAAAUUAUUGUUCCUGGAUGUAAUUUCUUUCAUUUUCCUACAUCCACCUCUGCCAUCUUUUCGUUUUUUACAUCCUUAAUUGGAAUUACAAGCACCAAUAUUUUUUUUCCGUGGAUGUAAUUUUUGGUGUAUCUGCAUGUAUUUUUUUUCCUAUUUUUAGAUCCACUAUGUAAAUUUUACAUCUCAAUCACAAAUCCCAAUUGCUAAAAAACGCUCGGGUGCUGGUUGUCCGUUCGAGCACUCGUUCCUGGUCCGUCCGAUGUGGUUGAUCAGACGCGCAGUUCCGACAGCGACGUGCCGCCCCACCUUGUCCGCCCCCAUCCACACCAUGCGUUGCCCACCUACCCUGUUCCCCAUCCAUAGACGCACCGCCCCAACCUCCACCGUCUCCCACACCGGCGGCAUGCCGCACCACGUCGGCGACCCUCCCCGGCAACCCGAACCUCCAGCACCCCGCCAAAUCCUCCUGCUCCCACACCCCCGAGAUCCGUCGGGGCAGCACCUGCACCCUACCUCGAGCUAGACAUGACCUCCUUCCCCAUCGCCGGAACAGCGUGAACACCACAUCUUGGAACCGCCGCCGGGAGUACCCCACCUCCCACUAGCACCGCCUGGUGAUCCCACACCAGGAGGAUUUGGCUACACCUCGACCUGGGGCGGCGCUCGUCGUGGUGGGGAUGAGAGGGACAGGGUUUGGGGACCACCACCGUGCCUAGGAGGGGGAGGGGCUCUGCCGCACUAGGGAAGAUGAGAAGAGGAGAAGCCGGCCUUCGUGCUUUUUGGGUUCGUCGUGGUGGAGAAGGAUGAGAUGAGAGAGAUGAGCACCAAUCGGCGCCGCACCUGCGAACGGGAGGGGCAACGGCUGACGCCACCCCAGGUACUCGGUGCAGAUGGAGCUAGACGGGGCUGGGAAGAGAGACCGGUAUGGCUGGCUGGCGGCUGCUGCUGGGGAAGAAGGCAAGGAGGGGGAACCAGGCCAGCUCCUUCAGGGUCCUUCAGAGUAUUGCUGGUGUGUUUUUACUGUUGAUUGCUUCGAUUAUGCUCCAACUUUUUUUUUGGAUCGAUGCAUAUUCUGAACUAGUAGUCACGCAAGUGGUUCAGUUUAUUCUGCAUCGUUGCAAACACGUUCAGAUGCAAGUUUCACUUUACAUUCAUGAUGAUGCAUAGUAUUGGCCUGACUACAGAGUGGACAUCUUGUAGUUUUUAACUGUCACAUGUUUGUAUUUUGUAGGCGAAGUGGGUACUUUCACUAUAUGUCUAGAUGAACUGUUUUCUUAAGGAUAUCUCUAUAGGUGAACUGAGCUGAAUCUACAUUAAAUACAAAUAUAUGUAAAGGGUGCCCAUUCUACUAUAUAUUUACAAUCCUAUAAAAUUGGCUAUCGCUGAAUUGAGCCAUUCUGCAAUGUCAGUCUUCUCGUUCUCCCGCUGGUGGUCACCUGCACGAGCUGCUGCCGGUGCCGGCAGUGCAGAGGCCACCGAAGUGGGGCAACAUCAGGGCUGAGGCCAUCGCAACGGGACGAUGGCGGUGCCACGAUUACGCCAACAAGCCAAACAAUUUUGGUUGCUUCUCCCAUGUUCAAAAAACCUUGUUGUUUUUGGUACAAGUUUGUCUUACCAUGGAUCCUAUCCCCGCCAAAACAUUCCGAGAACUAGGAAAUUAGUAUCAAGUUGAUGUAGCAACUUUAUGUUAGUUGUUUAUUAACCAUAUCUUGCGAUUAUUUAGGUGUAUUUUUUGGGCUUUUUAUGCUUAUCUGCAUACUAGAUGCUAUUUUUAAGUGCUAGAUAUGGUGAGAUAUCACAGUGUUGUUGUUUUGUCUGUAGUACAUAGUUGUGUAUUGAUUGUUAUUAAGUUGUCCAUCGAUUGCCUGUUAAGUUGCAUACUGAUUGUGGUUAAGUAGUCUACUUUUCUUGUUAGGCGAUUAACAUAAUGUCUCGUUCUGCAGGGUGUUCUUUUAUUUUUCUAAGUUGCUGUUGCAUAAAUUACAUUUGGUGUUCGGCAACGCACACUUAGUUCCUAUUUAUCUACCUGUAGUAUGCAUUUGCCUUUUUUUUCUUGUGAAUUAUGCAUUUGGACUCCAUAGGUUCAUGAUGCUACCUAAGUUGCUUAUCAUGUUUCGGUAAGUUGAUUAUCCACUUUAGCUUAAAUUGCUUUAUGCUUUCUCCUAACUUGCAGUCCACCAAGUUCUAGGUACAUAAAAAAACACAAUAAGUUGUUUAUUCCAUUCCCUUAAGUUGUUUAUUCCAUUCCCUUAAGUUGUUUAUUGUCCAUUUAUUAAGUUGUUUUUUACAUAUCCAUGAAACUAGGGUUAUUAUUUUUUAUUCACGAUGCAAAUCAUUGACAUAAUAAGUUGUUUAUAACAUUUUUAUUAGCUUGCUUGGCCACUUCUAUAAAGUUGUUGCUCCUUAGUAAAGUGAUUUUUUAUGGGAGCUUCGCUAUACAUGCAUGUGCUAGGUGUUUUAACUUUUCUGUAUAGUCAAUCAUGCAAAUGCUUUAGUUUCUUAGCUCGUCCAACUAAGUUCGUUGCGACACUAUAGUUGAGUUUGAGGAGUUGUUCAUUUUUUUUCGACAAAUGAGGAGUUGUUCACAGAUUUUUCUUUGCUAAAAUACAAAGUUGUCUAUGUUCCAUACUUUUUCGAGUUUACUUUGAUGUUUUAGCAACAUCCUUAAGUUGCUUUUACACUUUAUCCAAAGUUGCUUAUUCCGUUUCAUUAAGUUGAUUAAUGACUUUAGCUUAAGUUGAUUAGUCAUUUCAUCUUAAGUUGCAUUCCACUUUAUCCUAAGUUGCUUUUUCCAUGUAAUUAAAUUGAUUAGUCCCUUUAUCUUAAGUUGCUUCCACUUUAUCCUAAGUUGCAUAUCAUGUUUUAUUAAGCUGAUUAUCCACUUUAUUCAUGUUGUUUUCCGCUUUCUCCUAAUUGCUUAUGGACCAGGGGAUCAUGACUCCAUGCUUGUAGGUCACCUUGGUUAAACACUUGCAUUUUCAAUUGUAGGUUGGGAUUAUUAAGUUGUUCGACACUCCUCUAAGUAUAUUGAUUUUAUUUCCAGCAAUAUUUGUCUCAUCGUGUCUUUUUGCACCAGCGGUAGCUCAUUGAAAGAGUGCCUGCUCUAGUUGCAUCCCAGUUGGGGGUGUAUGCAACUAAUGCAAUGUCAGCAUCAACUCAUCCUACCAGGUUUGUUCUUUGUUGCAUACACUUGGUCAUAUAUGAAUACAACUAAGCUUCUGCGGGGUUUUUUUUUGUUGUUCUCGCUGUCAAUAACCUGGGAUCCCACAUGUAUCUAAUUAAUUGUCAGCAUCAACUCAUCCUAUGAGUUAUCCCAGGUUUGUUCUUUGUUGCAUACACUUGGUCAUAUAUGAAUACAACUAAGCUUCUGCGGGUUUUUUUUGUUGUUCUCGCUGUCAAUAACCUGGGAUCCCACAUGUAUCUAAUUAAUUGUCCCAUGUUUGUUGUUUCUGUUGCAUAUGCGAUACAACCAAGUUAGUUCAUACAGUGCUUUGUUGCUUCAUGAAUGUGCUUAGUUGAUUGCACAUAAUAUUGAUCAAUGGAGUGUUUUUUCGCUUGAUUUUACAUACAAUGCUUUGUUGCUACACGCGUGCCCUAAGUUAAUUGCACAUAGUGCCAAUCAAUGGAGAGUGUACCCUUUGCCAAUUUGCUUUUACAUAUCGUGCUUUGUUGCUACAUGCUAUGUUAUUUUUUUCCAAGGCAAAGCAUCUAUGGUGUAGUUGGGUUGCGAUUUUGAUGUGUGAUCUACUAUGUUGCUACCCAGAUCCCGAAGGAUCUAAAUCUAGUAACCUAGGUUUUUAGGUGUGUGUGUGAUAUCGUUCACCUUUUGGAUUUCAAGGAGCAACUCCUUCUGAAGUUUUUUCCCCUUACGUGUCUUUGUCAAAAUUUGGCCACUGGUCUAACUAAGUUGCCUUGCCAACAUGCUUAAGGUGCUUAUUUGUGAUAUUGCUAAGUUGUACCGAGAAGCGGUGAAUCCCGGGAGGCGUAGCUAGUACCAUCUCGAGCGUGGUGGUGGAGGAGACCAUGGCGCCUAACUCGAGCAGGUACGGCGCCAUCAUGCCUAGCGCAAGCGCAAGCCCGCCGUUGCCCCUAUCCAAGUAUUUGCGGUUUCCAGUGAAAUCCAGAUCUUCAUAGAGAUCCGGAGGAGGAAUAAGAGAUGAAAGUUUCGUCUUGCAGAACAAGUAUUUGGAGGAGCAAGGAGAGCGGAAGUAGUUUGCCAAGCGAUCUCGCGCGCUGCUGUAUACUGAUUUUUUUCCUUACGUGUAACCUCCCUGAUGAUUUUUCCAUCACCUGUAACCUCCUUUUUUGCUGGCCGGAUGUUGAAUCAGCCAAACCAGCACCCGGAUGCUAGGAUGAACAAACCAGCACUUGGAUGCUGGGAUGAACAAACCAGCACCGGAUGCUGGCUAGCUGCCUCCAUCACAAAUACGAGCAUCUUUUUUUA